AGAGUUUGAUCAUGGCUCAGGACGAACGCUGGCGGCGUGCUUAACACAUGCAAGUCGAGCGGAAAGGCCCUUCGGGGUACUCGAGCGGCGAACGGGUGAGUAACACGUGGGCAACCUGCCCUCAGCUCUGGGAUAACUCCGGGAAACCGGGGCUAAUACCGGAUACGACCACGGACGACAUCUUCUGUGGUGGAAAGUUUUUCGGCUGAGGAUGGGCCCGCGGCCUAUCAGCUUGUUGGUGGGGUAACGGCCCACCAAGGCGACGACGGGUAGCCGGCCUGAGAGGGCGACCGGCCACACUGGGACUGAGACACGGCCCAGACUCCUACGGGAGGCAGCAGUGGGGAAUAUUGCGCAAUGGGCGAAAGCCUGACGCAGCGACGCCGCGUGAGGGAUGAAGGCCUUCGGGUUGUAAACCUCUUUCAGCAGGGACGAAAACAGACGGUACCUGCAGAAGAAGCACCGGCCAACUACGUGCCAGCAGCCGCGGUAAUACGUAGGGUGCAAGCGUUGUCCGGAAUUAUUGGGCGUAAAGAGCUCGUAGGCGGUCUGUCGCGUCGGCUGUGAAAACUCGGGGCUCAACCCCGAGCCUGCAGUCGAUACGGGCAGACUAGAGUGCGGUAGGGGAGACUGGAAUUCCUGGUGUAGCGGUGAAAUGCGCAGAUAUCAGGAGGAACACCGGUGGCGAAGGCGGGUCUCUGGGCCGUAACUGACGCUGAGGAGCGAAAGCGUGGGGAGCAAACAGGAUUAGAUACCCUAGUAGUCC
rnacentral:rRNA from 1 species